rnacentral:rRNA from 1 species
UACAGGGGGUGCAAACGUUGCUCGGAAUUAUUGGGCGUAAAGCGCGCGUAGGCGGCUACUUAAGUCGGAUGUGAAAGCCCUUGGCUCAACUGAGGAAGUGCACCCGAAACUGAGUGGCUUGAGUACUAAAGAGGGUCGCGGAAUUCCCGGUGUAGAGGUGAAAUUCGUAGAUAUCGGGAGGAACACCGGUGGCGAAGGCGGCGACCUGGGUAGAUACUGACGCUGAGGCGCGAAAGCCAGGGGAGCGAACGGG